GGGGUUGUAGCUUAGUGGUCAGAGCGUCGGACUCACGACUUGAAGGUCGCGGGUUCGAUUCUUGACUCACUCGA
rfam:Macrostomum lignano uti_cns_0003119, whole genome shotgun sequence.